CGCACUUUGGCAAAAUCUUCUACCUGACGUUUCCAAACAUUGAAGUGACCAGGGAAGAGAAAGGAACUGGAGUCUCCCUGUACUUCUACACCACGACCCAGCACGGCAUUGAGGUCAACGUUUCCAGGCUCAGCCUCCUGCAGGACUCGAACUGGAAAGACUUUAGUUUUGUUGUACUAAGCAGAAGAUUGAGGACAAAACAGAUCAAAAUCAAGUAUUU
rnacentral:sRNA from 1 species